CACGUAGGAGACAAACGUUAUCCGGAGUUACUGGGCGUAAAGGGCGUGUAGGCGGUUGGUUAAGUCUGGCGUGAAAGCUCUCGGCUAAACCGGGGGAGGGUCGUUGGAUACUGGCCGACUAGAGGACGGUAGAGGCGUGGUGGAAUUCCGGGUGUAGUGGUGAAAUGCGUAGAGAUCCGGAGGAACACCAGUGGCGAAGGCGACACGCUGGGCCGUACCUGACGCUAAAGCGCGACAGCAUGGGGAGCAAACAGG
rnacentral:rRNA from 1 species